GGAAAGUUGAAAUACAGGAUGUGACUUGUGGAGGGAAGGGUUUGUUUCAGGUUAUAUGUCUCAAUCACAAUCCAUCAUGAAAGGAAGUAAGGGCAGGAGCUCAAGGCAGGAACCUGGAGGCAGGAACACAGGCAGAGGCUAUGAAAGAACACUGCUUACUGGCUUGUUCCCCAUGACUUAACCAGCAUGCUUUCCUAUAUCGUUCAGGAUCACCUGCCCAGGGUGGAACUGGCUCUCUGUGGCCUGGCCACAUCACUCAAUAAAAUGCCCCACAGGCCUGCCCACAGGCUGUUGUGUAGCGAUGGGUUGGGGAUUCUCAAUUGAGAUUUCCUCUUCCAAAAUGACUCUAGCAUGUGCCAAGUUGACAUAAAAUACCCAUGGAAGGAGUUACAGAGACAAAGAUUGGAGCUGAGAUGGAAAAAAGGAUCAUCCAGAGACUGCCCCACUUGGGAAUCCAUCCCAUAAACAACCACCAAACCCA
rnacentral:lncRNA from 1 species